CACGUAGGGCGCAAGCGUUGUCCGGAAUUAUUGGGCGUAAAGAGCUCGUAGGCGGUCUGUUGCGUCCGCUGUGAAAACUCGGGGCUUAACCCCGAGCCUGCAGUGGAUACGGGCAGACUAGAGGUAGGUAGUGGAGAAUGGAAUUCCCGGUGUAGCGGUGAAAUGCGUAGAUAUCUGGAGGAACACCGGUGGCGAAGGCGGCAUCCUGGACCGGCAUUGACGCUGAGGCGCGAAAGCCAGGGGAGCAAACGGG
rnacentral:rRNA from 1 species